UACGUAGGGGGCAAGCGUUGUCCGGAAUCAUUGGGCGUAAAGCGCGUGUAGGCGGCCCGGUAAGUCCGCUGUGAAAGUCCAGGGCUCAACCCUGGAAUGCCGGUGGAUACUGUCGGGCUCGAGUCCGGAAGAGGCGAGUGGAAUUCCUGGUGUAGCGGUGAAAUGCGCAGAUAUCAGGAGGAACACCAAUGGCGAAGGCAGCUCGCUGGGACGUUACUGACGCUGAGACGCGAAAGCGUGGGGAGCAAACAGG
rnacentral:rRNA from 1 species